rnacentral:lncRNA from 1 species
UGGAUCGAGUGGUUGCUUUGAUUUUGAAGUAGAUUGUGGUUUUUGAUUCUUUUGGGGUUCUUAGAUAGAUUCUGAUUUGUUGAUAAUGGAUGUGGUGGCUUAUGAUCUAAUUUGAUAGCCACUAGAAUUGGUUAGAGUUUUUUUUGUUGUAUGAGUUUUUUUUAAUCUUUAUGCUUUUUAAUUGUUUUCUAGUCCUUAUUAUUCUUUGAGAAUUUUAUUAUAACUCUUUAGUGAUUUUGUCACUUUUUAUUAAUUUAAUAUAAUAUUGUUUAUCAUUAAAAAAAUUGUUC